rnacentral:rRNA from 1 species
GUGGGGAAUAUUGGACAAUGGGCGAAAGCCUGAUCCAGCCAUGCCGCAUGUGUGAAGAAGGUCUUCGGAUUGUAAAGCACUUUAAGUUGGGAGGAAGGGCAGUAAGUUAAUACCUUGCUGUUUUGACGUUACCGACAGAAUAAGCACCGGCUAACUUCGUGCCAGCAGCCGCGGUAAUACGCAGGGUGCAAGCGUUAAUCGGAAUUACUGGGCGUAAAGCGCGCGUAGGUGGUUUUGUAAGUUGGAGGUGAAAUCCCCGGGCUCAACCUGGGAACUGCCUCCAAAACUGCAUGACUAGAGUACGGUAGAGGGUAGUGGAAUUUCCUGUGUAGCGGUGAAAUGCGUAGAUAUAGGAAGGAACACCAGUGGCGAAGGCGACUACCUGGACUGAUACUGACACUGAGGUGCGAAAGCGUGGGGAGCAAACAGGAUUAGAUACCCUCGUAGUCC